CCCCUCUCAGAGUCACGCCUAGAGAGUUUGCAGUCCUCUACCGGUCUCGACUACAGGAGGGAGAGUCAAGCAGAGGCCUACCCAUUCCAUUCCUAGCUUGGCCAGUGGCUAGCCAGUGGAAGGCAAUCUGCUACAAGU
rnacentral:snoRNA from 1 species